CAUUAUGAAGCUCAAAGCGUUAGCCUUUUAAGCUAAAAUUAGGGAGUACUCCACCCCAUAAUGA
rnacentral:tRNA from 1 species